AUUGAACGCUGGCGGCAUGCCUUACACAUGCAAGUCGAACGGCAGCACGGGGCAACCUGGUGGCGAGUGGCGAACGGGUGAGUAAUGCAUCGGAACGCACCUUUCAGUGGGGGACAACGUAGCGAAAGUUACGCUAAUACCGCAUAUUCUGUGAGCAGGAAAGCAGGGGAUCGCAAGACCUUGCGCUGAUUGAGCGGCCGAGGUCAGAGUAGCUAGUUGGUGAGGUAAAGGCUCACCAAGGCGACGAUCUGUAGCGGGGCUGAGAGGAUGAGCCGCCCCACUGGAACUGAGACACGGUCCAGACUCCUACGGGAGGCAGCAGUGGGGAAUUUUGGACAGUGGGGGCAACCCUGAUCCAGCCAUGCCGCGUGAGUGAAGAAGGCCUUCGGGUUGUAAAGCUCUUUCGGCCGGGAAGAAAUCGCACGGGCUAAUACCCUGUGUGGAUGACGGUACCGGAAUAAGAAGCACCGGCUAACUACGUGCCAGCAGCCGCGGUAAGAC
rnacentral:rRNA from 1 species